AAAACUUACUAUCUGAAUAAACUUCUUAAAAUGAGUAACAAAGUAUGUUUCCUUUUUCUGUUUGCCUCUAUGUGUUUUUGUUAUCAAUUUCCUUAGUUUUGUUCUCUCUGCUCAGAGCUUUGCUCUCACUUCCAGAUUUGCACUUACACUGUCUGGCUUUCUCCUUUGCAAUCCCUGAGUUUUUGGUUGCAAUUCUGACACAACCCUUUCGGGUGGGCGGGACUUCUGAGAAGUCCUCUCCCAUAGGACAGUGGUUUCUCUUGAGUGACAGUUCAGUGACCUGGAAGUGAUGUAGCCUCCAAGACAUUUUUUUCCCACCUGGUCAACAACAUGAAUUUUGAGCCCCAAACAGGUUAUUUCUGCUGUCUGUGGUGUCUACUGAGGAUCUAAAGAACCUGUGGAACAUUAGAGACUUUGCAGCUACUGGAGCUAACCUGUGUACUGCUAACUUGCUACAGAGGAAGCAGCAGAAAGCUGAGCUAACAGGCUGUUUUGCAGUGAAACGAAUGGAUUUUAUGAUGUAACUCUGACUGAAUAAUUAUCUAAAUUGAAAACUGCUGCAUUGCAUUACAAUGGAAGUGCUACACAGCCACAUGCAUCAACUGCAGCUGUUGACAAGCAUAUGGACCUAUUGUUCGAGUCCGUGGUGGUGGAUGCUCUACCAUAUCAGGAGUCUGACUAAGUACCUGUGCCUGAACCUCUCUGUGUCUAGUUCAAAAGACCUGAAAGACCUGCUGUAAGCAGGCACAGGAUAAGAUUUUAAAAGAACCUGUAAGGUUGCCUGAUGCUGAACUUCGGGCAGCUGCGUGCUCAGUGGAACAACCGCCUGUGGGAGGAGUCGUUGUGUUGCUGUUAGGAGUUUGGGUCGGAGUCCUGGAUCUAUGGGAAUUCUUUCCUUGAAGCUCCUGAUCACACAACCAUACUGGCAGUCGGCUUACCCACUACCUUCUGCUCACCCGCUUGCUACUCAUGCUGUCAUUCUCCCAGACUUCUGGUUGUUUCUCCACCAUUCUGCUGUCUCCCGUCUGCGCUACAAUUUCAGACCGUAAGUACCUAAACUUUUCCUUUUGUAAGUCAUUCUUUAGUCAUUACUAACACUCAAUUUUACCUCAGGGCCUUCUGAUCUUUAAACACUAAAACCUGUGGCUCCAUCUCUGUGGCGUUUCUCAGACUCUGUAAGCUACCUGCACAGUCUAAGAAAACCCUGACCUGUUGCCUCUUACUAACCUCUGCUCUUCCUCGCAGAAGCUUCUGGUUCCUGAUCUCCAGCAGUUACCUCUUCAGUCAUUCAUCAAUUUUAAUAAACUGUUUUUAGCUCA